UGAGUGGGUGCCAGGAAGUCUAAGCUGAAU
rnacentral:piRNA from 1 species